rnacentral:tRNA from 1 species
GCUUUGGUGGUGCAGUGGUUAGCACGCCUCGCUUACACCGAGUAGGUCGUGGGUUCGAUCCCCACCCGAAGCA